UCAACUAAAAACAGGGGGCGACCAAGAAGUUCUCCACCAAACCCUAACAAGCACAAAAUCAACAAAUUAGAAGGGCAAAUCGAGCCCAAAUCGAAAUUCAAUCAUAGAUUAAUGAUCACCGCAGUAAUGGGAUCAUAAGGCAAAGAAGCCGAGUCUUCAAGCGGACAAGCCGGAGCGGACACGUGCUUGAAAGGAACGCUUUGAAGGUGAAACCGGAAAUACUCCGGAUGGCGAUCAAGCAAGAUCUUAUGAACCGAACAGAACAAUUUGAAGCUUCCGCGUUAUUAUAGUUUGUUUUGACUAAAUAUGAACAUGUAACUUUGAUGUCACUUUUCGAACGUUUUAAACUAGUAGGGAUGUUAAUCCUAAAUACUCUAACCAUGUAUUGGAUA